CUGCCCACUGAAUAAUUUAUAUUAAAGGGCUGCAGUAUAUUGACUGUACAAAGGUAGCAUAAUCAUUAGUCAUUUAAUUGAUGACUUGUAUGAAAGAUUGGAUGAAAUAUAAACUGUUUCUUUAUUAUUUAUAGAAUUUAAUUUUUUAAUUAAAAAGUUAAAAUAAUUUAAAAAGACGAGAAGACCCUAUAGAGUUUUAUAUUUAAAUUAAUUAAGAUUAUUUAUAAAAUUUUUAAUUGAAAUUAUUUUUAAUUAUUUUGUUGGGGUGACAAAAAAAUAAAAAUAACUUUUUUUAAAUUUUAACAUAUAUAAUUGAUUUUAUGAUCCAUUUUAAUGAUUAUAAGAAAAAAAUUACCUUAGGGUUAACAGC
rnacentral:rRNA from 1 species